CAUUCUGUUGCUACAACCCAUCUGGGGGAUCGCUCGGCUUGAGUACCGAAGAAGGUCGUGACAAGCUGCGAUAAGCUGCGGGGAGACGCAUGAGUGUCUUGGAUCCGCAGAUAGCUGAAUGGGACUUCCUAUCCCUUAGGGGAUGAUCGCUUAUGCGAUAGGGAACCCCCCGAAUUGAAGCAUCUUAGUAGGGGGAGGAAAAGAAAUCAAUGAGAUUCCGUAAGUAGUGGCGAACGAACACGGAACAGGACAAACCGAAUCCCGAUUUGAAAAUGAGGGACAUGUGGUGUGACCAUUUUUUGCCUAAAUCACUGAAAUAGAAGUCGCCUGGAACGGCACAGCCAUAGAGGGUGAAAGUCCCGUAUAUGCAAGUGACAUGGCCACGUAAUGGCUCAAGAGUAGUGUGCGUUGGAUAUCGCGCAUGAAUAUGGGAGGCAGGAACUUCCAAUCCUAAAUAUAUCUCGAGACCGAUAGUUUACAAGUAACGUGAGUGAAAGCUGAAAAGAAUCCUUAGCGGGAUGUGAAAAGAACGUGAAACCAGAUGGGUACAGGCUGAUAGGGCGUGAAAGCGAAGAUAUGAGCAGCGUCCUAUCGUGCGUUUCGAAAAAUGCCCCAGGGAGUCUUGAUCAUUGGCGAGGUUAAGUGGUUGAUCCACGUAGCCGAAGGGAAACCGACAAGUCCGCAGCAGUUUACUGUGAGGGACGAAGUGUGCUCGCUUGGAGUCAAUGGUGGAGGACCUGAAGCCCGACGAUCUAUGCCUGGCCAGAUUGAAGCCCGACGAAAGUUGGGUGGAGG
rnacentral:rRNA from 1 species